rnacentral:snRNA from 1 species
GUGCUUUCUUUGCCAGCACAUAUGCUGGAACUGUACAAAGAAGAUUAGCAUGGCUCCUGCACAAGGAAGACAGGCAAAUUUGUAAAGCAUUCCAUAUUUUU